AUGCUUACUUUUUUGAACUGGUUUCAGAAAAAGCAAACGUCACUUCUGCCUCUGCCCAUUGCUUCUCCCAAUAACACCAACACACUUUCUCUCUCUAUCCUCCUUUCUUUCUCUCUCUUUAUCUCUGUCCUUUCUCUCUAUCUCGAACUUCUUCCGUCUUCCUCUUCCUAUUCCUUCUCCCUCUUCUUUUUCCUCUUCCUCAACGUUGUUUUGUUGUUUUGGGAUCUCAUCGAAGGAAGAGACACAAAUGAUCCUCACCACUACAAUACGCCAUAG